UCGCCGUUUCCGUGGGCCAGGAGUCUCGUC
rnacentral:sRNA from 1 species